CGCCCGUCACACCAUGGGAGUGGGUUGCUCCAGAAGUAGAUAGUCUAACCCUCGGGAGGACGUUUACCACGGAGUGAUUCAUGACUGGGGUGAAGUCGUAACAAGGUAGCCCUAGGGGAACCUGGGGCUGGAUCACCUCCUUAUACGA
rnacentral:rRNA from 1 species